CUGAGACUAAUUAUUUGCAUUAUUAAUUGUAGGGAAAGUAUUGGUUAAUAUUUUGGGACUUAAAGAAAAAUAACACAUCAAUUUUAUUUUAAGCUAAAAUGGAAGAUGGUGUGAAUUGCAUUUUUGGAGGUGCACAUGGUCUUUAGCUCUUGAAAGGAUGACACCUCCACCUUGUUUCCAACACAUAAAUGAAGCUAAAAUAUGCAGCAAAAGAGAAGAGUGUCACGGCCAAGUGAUUGCAUGUUGUUUUCAUUUGGUUUGAAAAUUAAAAAGCAAGAGAAAAAUGCACAUGACUACAUUAGUGUGUGAUGUUGAUUUAAUUGAAGAAAUGUGCAGCUACAUGUCACGGCCUACAUGUCCAAAUAGAAGGCUUAAUUCUUCUUGGUUUGAAGAAAAGGUUCAAAGAAAAUUAGCCAUUGGAAGCAUCACUUAAAGAAGCAAAGAUUGUAUUAUUUGAAGAAGACAAUGAAGCACAUGGCUUCCCUCACAUUCAAGGUCAUUACUCUUGGUUUUUGGCAACCAUCACACUUGAAUUCAAGGGCUGGAACGUUGCAUGACACUUAAAGAAAUUAAUAUGCAACAUAUGGGUUAUCAUAUUUAAUUGCCACAUGGCCAAAAUUGCAAAACCAAGGAAGCCACAUCCUUGCACACAUUCACGGCCAAGCAUGCUUGUAAAGGAGGUGAUAAUGAAUUAAAAUAUGGCUAGCAUGUAAUGGAAAAAAAGUGUGCCACCAACAAAUUCCAUUUCCUUUGCUAUGUAGCCGUAAAAGAAGGGGUGCUUGUCUAGCAAUAAUUUUCUAAAGAAGAUGGUGGCAAUGCUUGGAGAGUCAUGGACAACUAAGAGCACAUGGAAAGCAAAUACAAAAAUUAAAAGUAGAUGCCACAUGGAA
rnacentral:lncRNA from 1 species